UCGAGCGGUAGCACAGGAGAGCUUGCUCUCUGGGUGACGAGCGGCGGACGGGUGAGUAAUGUCUGGGAAACUGCCUGAUGGAGGGGGAUAACUACUGGAAACGGUAGCUAAUACCGCAUAACGUCUACGGACCAAAGUGGGGGACCUUCGGGCCUCACGCCAUCAGAUGUGCCCAGAUGGGAUUAGCUAGUAGGUGGGGUAAUGGCUCACCUAGGCGACGAUCCCUAGCUGGUCUGAGAGGAUGACCAGCCACACUGGAACUGAGACACGGUCCAGACUCCUACGGGAGGCAGCAGUGGGGAAUAUUGCACAAUGGGCGCAAGCCUGAUGCAGCCAUGCCGCGUGUGUGAAGAAGGCCUUAGGGUUGUAAAGCACUUUCAGCGAGGAGGAAGGGUUCAGUGUUAAUAGCACUGUGCAUUGACGUUACUCGCAGAAGAAGCACCGGCUAACUCCGUGCCAGCAGCCGCGGUAAUACGGAGGGUGCAAGCGUUAAUCGGAAUUACUGGGCGUAAAGCGCACGCAGGCGGUUUGUUAAGUCAGAUGUGAAAUCCCCGCGCUUAACGUGGGAACUGCAUUUGAAACUGGCAAGCUAGAGUCUUGUAGAGGGGGGUAGAAUUCCAGGUGUAGCGGUGAAAUGCGUAGAGAUCUGGAGGAAUACC
rnacentral:rRNA from 1 species